GACGAACGCUGGCGGCGUGCUUAACACAUGCAAGUCGAACGGGCCUGUCUUCUUUUUUGGGGGGUGGGGUGAGUGGCGCACGGGUGAGUAUCACGUGUGUAACCUGCCCUUCGGUCCUGGAUAACCGCUUGAAAGGGCGGCUAAUACGGGGUGGUCCGGUUGGUCCGCAUGGGCUGGUCGGGAUAUAUUCACUGUUUUUGGUGUUUCGGCGGGGGAUGGGCUGGGGGCCUAUCAGCUUGUUGGUGGGGUGAUGGGCUACCAGGGCGGUGACGGGUAGCCGGCCUGGGAGGGUGGGCGGCGAGAGGGGGACUGGGAUACGGCCGACACUGCUGCGGGAGGGAGCAGUGGGGGGGGUUGCACAAUGGGAGGAAGCCUGAUGCAGCGACGUCGCGUGAGGGAUGGAGGCGUUCGGGUUGUGAACCUCUGUUUCCGGUGGUGAAGGCCCUGUCCGUGUGGUGGGGUUGACGGUAGCCGGGGAUGAAGCGCCGGCUAACUACGUG
rnacentral:rRNA from 1 species